GUGCCAGCAGCCGCGGUAAUACGUAGGUGGCAAGCGUUGUCCGGAUUUACUGGGCGUAAAGGAUGUGUAGGCGGAUAUUUAAGUGAGAUGUGAAAUCCCCGGGCUUAACUUGGGGGCUGCAUUUCAAACUGGAUGUCUAGAGUGCAGGAGAGGAAAGCAGAAUUCCUAGUGUAGCGGUGAAAUGCGUAGAGAUAAGGAAGAAAACCAGUGGCGAAGGCGGCGUUCUGAACUUUAACUGAAGAUGAGGCAUGAA
rnacentral:rRNA from 1 species